UACAGAGGGGGCAAGCGUUAUUCGGAAUUAUUGGGCGUAAAGGGCGCGUAGGCGGCUUUGCAAGUGACGGGUGAAAUCCCUCGGCUUAACCGAGGAACUGCCUAUCAGACUGCAUGGCUUGAGACCGGGAGAGGUGAGUGGAAUUCCCCAGUGUAGCGGUGAAAUGCGUAGAUAUUGGGAGGAACACCAGUGGCGAAGGCGGCUCACUGGACCGGUACUGACGCUGAUGCGCGAAAGCGUGGGGAGCAAACAGG
rnacentral:rRNA from 1 species